UGGGGAAUAUUGCACAAUGGGCGCAAGCCUGAUGCAGCCAUGCCGCGUGUAUGGAGAAGGCCUUCGGGUUGUAAAGUACUUUCAGCGGGGAGGAAGGGAGUAAAGUUAAUACCUUUGCUCAUUGACGUUACCCGCAGAAGAAGCACCGGCUAACUCCGUGCCAGCAGCCGCGGUAAUACGGAGGGUGCAAGCGUUAAUCGGAAUUACUGGGCGUAAAGCGCACGCAGGCGGUUUGUUAAGUCAGAUGUGAAAUCCCCGGGCUCAACCUGGGAACUGCAUCUGAUACUGGCAAGCUUGAGUCUCGUAGAGGGGGGUAGAAUUCCAGGUGUAGCGGUGAAAUGCGUAGAGAUCUGGAGGAAUACCGGUGGCGAAGGCGGCCCCCUGGACGAAGACUGACGCUCAGGUGCGAAAGCGUGGGGAGCAAACAGG
rnacentral:rRNA from 1 species